AGAGUUUCGCCAGGGUCACCUCCUCCCGAUCCUGACGAAUAUGACCGACAACCUCCUCCUCCCAAUUGUCGGUCACCCCAAAACAACACCCGCCGAACCUCCUCCCUCGGCGGGUGUUGGAA
rnacentral:sRNA from 1 species